UAACAACUUUCAGCAGUGGAUGUCUAGGCUCGCACAUCGAUGAAGAACGCUGCGAACUGCGAUACGUAAUGCGAAUUGCUAAAUUCAGUGAGUCAUCGAAAUUUUGAACGCAUAUUGCACUUCCGGGGCUAGAUCUUCGGGAAGUAUGCCUCUAUCAGUGUCCAUA
rnacentral:rRNA from 1 species